UGAGAAAGAGGAACCAGAAACUACUGUCUGGAACAGUACACUGCCAUGUGCCCUAUAAAGGUGCUGAAAUGGAGGCUCAGAAAGAUGAAAACAACUGCCCAAAAUGGACAUAGCUGGUUUGCGAACAACAUAAGGUGAUGGAGCAAAUGGCACCCAAACACACAUCGUACCUGUGCGCCGCCUGCCCGCACGUGUGCACAGCCCGCCUGCACGUGUGCGCCGCCCGCACGUGUGCACCGCCAGUCCGCCCCUGUGCGUAGCCCGCCUGCACGUGUGCGCCGCGCACACGCACGUGUGCCUCAAGCUGUGGGGCAGUUUCAGCUGAAUUCUCUUCCAGCCCGCCAGUGCUCCGGAAAGACCGGCGUCAUUCCAGCUCUUCCUCCGGAGA